UGAAGAUGUAUCAGUGCAAGGACCAGGU
rnacentral:piRNA from 1 species